UUGCCUAUGUGAGGCAACACUUGGAAUGUAUCAAGCUCUGUCUUGCGGUGGAUGAUGACUGAGUUGAGAGCUUAUGGGUUAGUAUGAAAGGGCAAACUAAUAAGAGUGACAUUGUUGUGGGUGUGUGCUAUUGGCCACCUGAGCACCAGGAGGAAGCGUGUGAGUCCUUCAACAGGUAGCUUGAAGGAUCCUCAAGGAAGCAAAAAGAGUCCAGGAGGUUCCUGGAAAGCUUGAUGAUAAUAUUUUGACACAGGUAGUGGAGGAUAUCACAAGGAAUGGUGUACUGCUUGAUCUCAUACUAACAAAGAGGGAAGACCUUGUUGGAGAUGUGAUGGUUGGAGGCAGCCUUGGAUAUAGUGACCAUGGGAUUGUGGAGUUUUGUAUCGGGUGAGGAGGAAGCAGGGAAGCAAGAUUUUAACUGGGCACUUCAGGAGAGCUGACUUUAGCCUCUUCUAGGCUCCCUAGGAAGAAUCCCAUGGGAAUAGGACCUGCAGGGAAGAGGGCUCCAAGAAAGCUAAUUGAUCCUUCAAGGAUCCUUCAGGCUCAAUGAUGCAUUCAGAUGAACAAGAAAAAGGGCAAAUGGGGAAACGUUCAACCCAUGUGGACGAAUUACUCAAGUAUAAGCAGGAAAUACACAGGAGGCUGAAGCAGGAUCAAACCACGUAGAAUGAACAUAGAGAGGUUAGAGUAAGUAGGAAUGAGACAAGGAAGGCCAAAGGCCAUCUGCAAUUAAAUCUGGUGAAGGAUGUCAAGGACAAGAAGAAUGUCUUCUUUAAAUACAUCAGUAAAAAAGGAAAA